rnacentral:rRNA from 1 species
GCAGAACGCGAAGAACCUUACCUGGGUUUGACAUGGCCGCAAAACCGGCAGAGAUGUCGGGUCCUUCGGGGGCGGUCACAGGUGGUGCAUGGCUGUCGUCAGCUCGUGUCGUGAGAUGUUGGGUUAAGUCCCGCAACGAGCGCAACCCUCGUUCGAUGUUGCCAGCGGUUCGGCCGGGGACUCAUCGAAGACUGCCGGGGUCAACUCGGAGGAAGGUGGGGAUGACGUCAAGUCAUCAUGCCCCUUAUGUCCAGGGCUUCACGCAUGCUACAAUGGCCGGUACAAUGGGCUGCGAUACCGUGAGGUGGAGCGAAUCCCAAAAAGCCGGUCUCAGUUCGGAUCGGGGUCUGCAACUCGACCCCGUGAAGUCGGAGUCGCUAGUAAUCGCAGAUCAGCAACGCUGCGGUGAAUACGUUCCCGGGUC